CUGCCAUUAGUUUUUCAUUAUGGCACCUCUGGGAAGUUCAGCCUCUCUGUCCAUGGAAGAACCCAGAUACAGCCCAAGCAGUUUGGGACUCCCUGGGUUAGAAUUGCUAUGUUAGUGCAUAGUAAUUGAAGAUAUUGGACCUCUGUGGAUUGAAUUAUAAUGAAUUGAGCUCUAUUUGAGGUGGUAAGGAUGCCUGGUUACCUUAUAUUGUGUUCUGAAAUUGGCUGUUACAAGAUGGCUGUCGCAAUUGGUUUUUUUGGGGUUGUAAGUCGUAAUUUUUCUUCUUCUUAGGCGUAUUCUCUGCCCCCUGAGGCUUCUCCUCCCUGUUCCCAAUGAAUUUGGUGCGAAAAUUGGCGCAAAAUUUCCGCCAUAUAUCCUCCUUUGUAGAUCAGAAAAAAAACAAGAUGGCCAAUCGGCGUCUUCCUGUCUGGCCUUAAAGUGACCUGCAUGUGGUUUUUGGUGAUUCCUUUGCUUCCAAUGUGUUGGUUUAAGCUGAAAGUUGCUGUAAAAGGAGGAAUUUAUUUAAGUGGUGUAGAACCAAACGCAGGCGAUGUUGGAAGUCCAGCGGUGUUUGGGAGUUUGUGUCUGAUUUCAGUUCCAUGAACUCGACGACCAAACACCGCUGCCUGCGUUCAUGCGAACAAGAUGGCCGCCACCUCGUGGUCAUUCAUGCAAACAGCGGCCACCCAGACGAACAAUUAGAACACUGCGGUGGAACGAGUUACAAACUGUCAAUUAGGCUUAACAAGCCCACGGGUGGUCCAUGGUUCGUGUGCCUGUUCAGUUCCCGAACAGAAUAGAGAAAGGAUACAAACAAAUUCUUUUAUGAGCCUUUUCGCAUUGCCCAUAGUCUUGAGGCAGGAGGCUGGCAAGCGGGCCCCUUCAGAAGCUUGUGGGAAGGGGAGUUUGUCACAGUUACCAUGGCUUCCUCUACCUCAAGGAGCAGUGUAAGGUGAGCUGUGUCCAUAUGAUUCUAAAAACGUGCCUAUGGCUAUACCUAUAUUAGGUUGCAUAUAUAUUAUAUACAGACAUACUAAUGCACCGAUGUCUAUAUUUUUUAAUUGCAGCCUGAGACCGCCUGAAAGAAACCAUGCUAAGGAUGCACAGAAAUUCAAGCAGUGCCAUGCCUGUCCAUCUUCUGCAAUUGAGGGGGAAAAAAAUUUGCAGGGACUGUUUUCGCAUUAUAGCAAGCGAAGGAGCCUCAACAUCGGCUGAUAAUGUGAAUCCUCAUCUGACUGAGGUGAUUUUUAUGGAUGAAGCGGCUGGGAUUAAGAAGGCGACUCCUCUAGGAGGAGUCAUUCCUCUAAAAAAAAAAAAAGAGAGGACUCCUCAAGCUCAAUGUCAGAUUCCCAGGUCUCUGACGACUGUAACUCAUCAGAAGAUGAAGAGAGUAUGGAUUAUCCCUAUAACCUAGAUGGCAAAGCUGUUGAUUCUCUCAUAUCCCAGAUAAGAGAUACAUUGAGAAUUCCUGAAAACCAUGGAGAGGCUAGGGAUUCAGAUAUCUAUUUUGAAGACUUACAAAGAAAAAGUUACCUUUCCUAUAAACUCUGCCAUCAAAGACCUGAUUGAGUCAGAGUGGAAAAAACCUGAAAGGUGUUUAUCCACACAAGGGAUGUUUAGUAGAUUAUACCCUUUUCUAACUUCUGAGACAAAACCUUGGAAC